GCUUAAAUUUUCUCAUAGUUAGCUUUUAAAAUCUUCAUUACCAAUAUUUAGUUUUAUAAGACAUAGUAAAACCUUAUAUUACUAAAUGUUUAGAUCAGUUUUUACUUUUUCAAAAGACUUAGAGUAGUAGUUUUGCUUCAUUCCUAUGGCCUAUAAUUGGCAGUGAGCUAUAUUGUCACUUAAAAAUCAGUACUUUUAUCAUCAGUUAUCCUACAUUCUACCAGUGCAAAAUGCAUUCAUUAUUUAAAGCCUUCCUUGUAUAUUAUGAUCAUUUCAAAUUGUAUUUUCCAAAGAGCUUUUAUAAAUCUUUUGCGGAAAUGAUAUAACAUGAAAAAGAUGAGGAAAACUGGGAUGCAAAUUUUAGUUAAAUGUUAGCACUCAUGUUAUUGAAAAAAGUCAUUUAACUUUGUGUGUUACUGUUUCUGCCUUUGAAAUGGUGUCUCUACCUAAUGUAAGCAAGUAGUGGGAUCCAAAAGAAAUACAUUUUCCAUGUUUGUUUCAGUCUCACAAAGUUCUUUUCCAGCUAGCAUUUUCCUUUGAAGAACAGAAGACCCAAAGAGGGAAAACUUACUCUGGGCCCUGUUUAGAGUCUGGAAUAGGGUUAACUCAAGGAAAAGUCAACUGUUGCUUAGAGUCGCCAAUUCUGAGUACUCUCAAGAAUAAUACUUCAAAGAAAGUGUACCAACACUCCUCAAAAUCCAAGAGUGCCAAGAAUGCUGUAGGCUCACAGAAAACAGGACUUACCGGCAGCUGUGAUGUCUUUGAGAGAUAGUAAUAUCCUCACCACUUUAGAGUAAACAGAGUUUGAUUGAGUUCUACUACAAUGGAUACAGCAGAAAUCCAGAGCAUCAUCA
rnacentral:lncRNA from 1 species